CUUCCAGCGGAAAGGAGUUUUUUACUAUCAAAGCGUUUGCUCGAGCACUGCGGCAGCGGUUGAAUAUUACAUGUAUAUAUAAACUCCCCAACCAUCAAGCUAUGCAAUUAAUGAUGAUAACCGGCGGCUACGAUGGUACCGAGUUAAUCUCCCAACUUCGCUCUGAUCAUGUGCAGGGAAACAAGACUUUGGGGCUCACGGGAAGAUAUGAUGAACGGUUCAGUGUGCGAUAUGCAAAAUUUUGGUGUUUUAGAAUCGUAUAAAUCC